rnacentral:lncRNA from 13 species
AUGAUUUUUUUUUCUUUUUUUUCGAGACAGAGUUUUGCUGUUGUUACCCAGACUGGAAUGCAGUGGCAUGAUCUCCGCUCACCGCAACCUCCGCCUCCUGGGUUCAAGCGAUUCUCCUGCCUCAGCCUCCUGAGUAGCUGGGACUACAGCCCAGAGGGUCCCUGUGCCCAGGACAGAAGGCGCAGAGCCCAUCAUCCAUGGCUGCCUCCCUGCAUCUCAAACACUGACACCCAGAGAAGGGGCCCAAUGCCAGGGAGUGGAAACAGCCCACACAGAGGUGGGGGUGGCCUCUACCAUGGACCCCUGGCUUGGCCCCAGAUACAUUCCAUACCAGGGUUGUAUGCAAGUGAAAAGGGGGUCUGGGGUUCAAGUUUAAGGACAACGUAAAGGGAUAAAAUCUCAAAUGGAAAAUGUUUUACCCAUCAUUUUGUUUUCUUCCUUUUUUUUUUGAAAUGGAGUUUUCCUCUUGUCUCCCAGGCUGGAGUGCAAUGGUACGAUCUCAGCUCACUGUAACCUCUGACUCCUGGGUUCAAGUGAUUCUCCUGCCUCAGACUCCCGAGUAGCUGGGAUUACCAAUCCCAGUAUGCAGCUGGAAUUACCAGAUGCAUACCACCAUGCCUGGGUAAUUUUUGUAUUUUUAGUAGAGAUGGGAUUUUGACAUGUUGCCCACGCUGGUCUUGAACUCCUGGCCUCAGGUGAUCCACCCACCUUGGCCUCCCAAAAUGCUAGGAUUAUAGGCCCAUUUUGUUGUCUUCCAUGGGUUGCUCUCUGCUGGGAAAAUAUCCUGAUUGCCUUAAAUCACCUGAAACAUAGCUGUUUAGCAAGCUGUGUCCACUCAGAUAUGUUUUGCUGGGCCAGUCUGUAUGAUUCUUUUUUUCUCUGUGUAAUUAAACCUUUUUUUGAGAUAAUUGUAGAUUCACAUGUAGUUGUAACAAAUAACACAGAGGGAUGCUAUAAUGUGUGCCCUUUACCCCGUUUCCCUUAGUGGACAUCUUGCAAAACUAUGGGAUAAUAUCACAACCAGGAACCACACAUUUAUACAGUUAAGCCACUGAGCAUUUCCAUCCCAGGGACUCCUCAUGUUGACCUUCUAUAGCCACAUCACUUCCUACCCUGUGCUGUCCCUGACCCCACAUUGACUCACCUUCCCUAUACUUCUAUAAUUUUGCCUUCUCAAGAAUCUCAUAUAAAAGCAGUAUACAGUAUGUAACCUUUUGUGCUUUUGUGAUGUUUGUUUUCCAGUCAGUAUAAUUCCCUGGAGCUUCAUCCAAGAUGGAUGUAUCAACAGUUCAUUUAUUUUUGUUGUUGAAUAAUAUUCCAUGGCAUGGAUGUGCCACAGUAUGUAAUCAUUACCCAUGAAGGACCUCUGUGCUGUUUCCAGUUUGGGCUUAUUUGAAUACAGCUGCUAUGAUGAACAUUUUAUGUACAGGUGUUUGUGCAAACAUUAGUUUUCAUUUCUCUAGGAUAAAUGUCCAAGAGUGAGAUUUACCUGCUUGGCAAGACAUAUGUAUGUGUGUAUAUGUGCCAUAUUUCAUAUGUCCAUAUGUGUGUGCCGUAUUUUACACACACACACAUAUAUAUGCUUGUUUAUACACAAUAUUUCUCUGGAUAUAUACUCAAGUGGAAAACACUGAUUGCCUGUGGGGAAGGAUAUUGGGUGAUGGGGAGGGAGAGGAAUCACUUUCACUUGGAACUCUUUUGAGCUUAAGUUUCAACCAUCUGUCUGGAUUUUUGGAAAACAAAUCAAUAAAACGUACAACCCGCAAGACA